UUGAUUCCAUUCAACAGGGGAACUUGAGUUCUUUCUCACAAGGCAUAAUAUUGGGAACUCGCCGACAUCGUUCAGAGAUAACAAAUCUUCCCCUGUCCCAGUGUCGAACAUAGGAGUUGCACUGAAAUUUAAAGAAAACAAAGAAUUUUAUUUGGGGAAGGUUGAGUGGAAAAAUACUUGCAUUUUAGAUUCAUUCUAUCUGUAUUUUCCCUAGCAAUGAGUCCACUUGUUCUUGCACAAAACCUAUAACCACUAAGUGAAAUGAAGAUUAUUAGUGAACUAAAUUCCUAAUAAAGCAAUCCUUGGUACUAGAAUCACCUUGAGUCAAACUAUUUUAAAACUAUUUUAAGUAUGACCGCUUAUAUAUAAAACAAUAAGAUCUUGCUUCUCGUGAUGUUGUUUCAAGAUCAAUGACAAUGGAAAUUAGAGAAUGACGUGGUGUAGGGCCAUUGAAGGACCACAUUUAUUUGCAUCUGAACCAUCUGCCGCCUGAGGUUCUCAAAGAAAGGCUCCCUGGUAUUUCCGAAACUGAUGCUAUUUUUGCUGGUGUUGACGUCACCAAGGAGCCCAUUCCAGUUUUGCCUACUGUGCACUACAAUAUGGGUGGUAUCCCAAGUCCCAACGAACUACCGUGGGGAGGUUUGUAUUGAGCGUGUAGUAAACAAAUAUGGGUCAAAACCUGCGUAUUGUAAUAGAAAUAUAUUCUGCUAUUCUGCAUAACAGGUAGUGGAUAUCAAGGGUGAUAAUCCAGAUGUUGUUAUCUCUGGUCUAAUGGCUGCUGGUGAAGCAGCAUGUGCAUCUGUCCAUGGUGCAAAUAGGCUAGGCGCAAAUUCACUUCUUGACAUAGUUGUUUUUGGCAGAGCUUGUGCAAACAGGGUAGCAGAUAUUUCUAAACCAGGUAGGUUCCUUAUAUUCACGGGGAGGUAUUAUGGGACGAAGUCCGCGCCGAGGAGAGGGUGCAAAAGGUUGUGGAGAAGGAGGGUAUCAAUGUGAAGUACUUCUGGGUAGCACGUUGUACCAUGUGGAAGACCUUCCCUUCCGCCUUGACGACAUACCGUCCAACUAUGGUGGCUUCAAGGAGGCUAUGAAGGGGCUGGACAUCAGAAAGGUGUUGGAGGCGCCCGAGGAGGUCAAGUGCGUGCCCAUGAAGAAUGUGCUCGAGCCCGGAGACAUCCCCACGCUUGCUGAGCUCAGUCUCACUACUCCACCAGGCAUGGCACAGAUGAGUCGGCUUCAAGACAUAGAUCACUUUCUUUUCCUGUAGCAUGCUUUUAGAUCUUUAGCUAGGUUCACCAUCUUGACAUUUAUGCCCGAGUUCACUUUAUAGUCUAUACGUGGUAAUGGCUUAAAGCAUUCAGUACUUCUAAGUAAAUUGUACAGGUACAACUAGAAAGGUUUCUGGCAUUCAGUACCACGAUGUGUUCUGUCGUUGAACCUGUUUGAGCUGCUGAAGAAGUCUGGUUGGCAGGAGGGCACUGGCCUUGAAGCGCGGGACCAAGGCCUCGAGCAUGACAGAGAGGGUUGCAGUCAUUUGUUGACGAAGGUGAAAGAGAAUUGAUGCAUGAGUAACUCAUUGUUUUAGAAG